AUGGAUCGACUCUCAGAGCGCCCACUACGACAAGGAGACAAUGGACACCAUGAAGGACAUCGCCCUCUCCUUCACGCUGUUCAAACUGUUGAAGCUGGCCUUUCCAAGACGCUGCGUUUCUGUCUGGAUGGCCUCCUCUCGGAACAAGGCAACUACGCCCGCGCUUUGGGGGUCGUCGAGAUGGAGUUGGCGUUCCUCUAUGAUUUCUUCUACACAAGGUUCGAUGCCAAGUUCACUGAGUACCAGACCUUGUUCGUAGCAACCGUUAUACCGACUGUCAUUGUUUGGAACUGCAUCUCGGGAGCAUUUAGCAGGCACUACCACCACAGUGAUUUGGAACAAAGAGUUCAAGGAACCGAUGUCAUCCAUUGGGUUACCAUUGUGCUGCUUGCCAUUUGGUUUAUAGUAUUCUUAACAGAGCAUUUCAUGAGUCCCAGCAGGUGGGCGGUCAUGGAAAGGCUCCAUGACGCGACUGCUGAUGAGACAACCAAGAUGAUAGGGAUGAAGAUCAACGUAUCCAGAGAGAAAAUGUCAAGUGCAAGCGGUCACUGGGAGAGUAAACUCGGGCAGUACCCCCUGUUACUCAAUUUUGACUACCACCCGUGGAAUGCACUAUCGAUUCUGUCAUUAGGUUUGGUCGAGGCAACAAGGGAAGGGCAGAAGGCCGGGGAAAAGAUCAAAUUGCGAGAGCAAGUCAUAGUGCGCGUCCUCUCUGGGUUCAAAGAGAGCAACGGGGUGCUAGAAGAUGGACAGGCGGCACUGGCAAGAAAUCAGCUGGGAAGCCAAUUCUCAUGGGCCUGCACCCUGCCCACGCACAUCCACACGAUUCUCGUAUGGCACAUUGGGACGACCAUGUCCAUGCACGGGGACGAGGAUCCCCUCAGGCUCAGGGGUAAUCGUCUUGUCGCCAAGAGCCUCUCGGAUUACUGCGCCUACCUGGUGGCUUUUGUUCCGGACAUGCUGCCCGGGCAUGGCUACCACACGCAGCGCAUCUUCGACGCGGUGGUCAUGGAAGCUCGGGAAAGCCUGGCUGGCUGUGAAACUGUGAGCAGCAGAUGUGAGAAGCUGAUGAUGAUGGUCUUGCCGGGCAGCAACAGCACCGUCCUGGAGAUGGGGGCCAGGCUUGGGAAAGAACUCAUCACUGGUGUGGUUCCAGAAGCGAGGCGAUGCAAGGUGCUGGCUGAUUUCUGGGCCGAGUUCAUACUCUUCCUCGCGCCAUCGAGAAAUGCCGAAAUCCAUGCUGAGAUGCUCGCCAAUGGCGGGGGGUUCAUGACCCAUCUGUGGGUAUUGCUCACACAUGCCGGCGUCCUAGACCGCCCCUCUGCUACCGAACCUGCGCAUGGCUCUAAUGUGUGA
rnacentral:rRNA from 1 species